AGAGGUAUUACUUUAGGCUAAUUCUACUUUCCAGAAAUAAUCAGAUCUAAUUUUUUAGAUGUGAUGAAUUUUACACUGGUGUUACCUAUGUGAAUGUUUCUGGAGGAUCUCAAUGAUUCAUUUUUAAUUGUAAGAGGUUGCUGAGACAUGGGGAACUAAGUGUUUGACCUAAACUCAGGAUUUAUAGGAAGAGUAGAGGGAGCUGCUGCCCUUGCUGCCCUGUACGAUGGCUCUCCUAUAUCCCACUACCUUUCUGCAAGAGGAUGUCCUUUCAACAGAAAGCAAUCAAAUUCCAGCUCAAGAAAGAGCCUUUUACCAUCCCACCAGAUGCCCAAGGCCUUCAACAAGUAACAGUAGCUGCACUUUUUCACAGCAGAUGCUUUUGAUCACUCCUCAACUGCAAAAGGAAGAACAUA